rnacentral:lncRNA from 1 species
GAGGGUAAAAAUUAAUCUAUAACUCCAGAUUAUUUGCAAAGAGAAUUGUUUCUAGAUUUAUACACCAAAUUUCACUGUGUUAAGUAUAAGUAAAUCAUAAUCCUUAUGCUCGAGAAUCUUCUGUCCUAAAAAUAGUUAAGACUGACACACCUAGAGACAGUUGAGAAUGUAGACAAACAAAAUGAAUACUUUUGACUUCAUUCCAAUGGAAACAUUCCAAACUAAAUUAAGAAACUCGUAACUCUCUUCUUUCUCAAAGCUUUUUUGUUUGCUUGUUUGUUUGUUUGUUUUCAUGGAAGGAAAGAUACUCAUUUAUUUUGACUUUUGAUUAAUCCCAUUCUUCAUUGUUCUUUUUCUUCCAUUGUUGUCAAGGCAGGAGGAGAUUAAGGGAAAUUUCUUGGUGCAAAUGAUGGUGUGGUACUUUUCCAUCUAAUUUUGACUCUUUUUUUUCUUUCAAACUUUCGUUAUCGCUUAGAACCAUUCCCUAUUUUAAUUUUCUUUGUCUUUGUUCCAUUGUUCAUAUUUUCCUCAUGAAACCAACUUAUUCUGAGAAAAUGAAAGCACUAAAUUUCAUUCUGGAAUCCCAUUAAGGCAUUUGGUUUGAGUAGUUGAUAUUCGCUUGUGAGUUUCUUGAGCCAAACUUCACGUGUUCAGCAUAGGUUACAGACGGGAUUCCUGAAACGUGAAGGCAUCUUCCCAUCAUCCUAUGAAAGUUUGGGAUGCCAUGUUUCCGUAGGGUGAACUGCACACGACUGCUUCUUAAAGCACUCCUGAGACAAGAACUUGGAGUCAUUUCUUCAAGACAAGAAAUAAAAUAGAGAUUUGGAGGAGAAGGCCAUCGCAUCCUUGGCAAAUUGCAGACACUGGUGAGUGGUAAUGUGGUCCACUGGUUAAGAGCGCAGGCUCAGGGGUCCCACCAGCUGGCUGUGAAUGUCGACUUCAGCACUUGCUACCUGUGUGACAUUAGGCCAGUUACUUAACCUCUCUAGUCCUGUGUCCUCAUCCAUAUCUUGGAGCUAGUCAUAGUGUCUACCUCUAAAAGCUGUUGUGAGGACCGACUGAGAUCACGA